rnacentral:lncRNA from 1 species
GAGGAAUAACCGAAUCGAACCGAACCGAUUUGGUUCGGUUCGGUUCAGUCGGUUUGAUCGGUUCGAACCGAUUUUUAAACUUAUCUUUUUUUUUUUUCACAUUCAUUCUAAAAUACAGUUAAAAUAUUUUAAUUUUAACUUUUACAAAAAAAAAUCAAUAAAAUAUAAAAUUUUACAAAUAAAAAAUCAAUAAAAUAAUAAAUCAAUAAAUCAAUAAAAAAUCAGAGGACUGAGGGCAACCGACGAGGGCUGAGGACGAGGACUGAGGAUUGAGAACUGAGGAAGACAGAGGAGAGGACCGAGGGCAACCAAGUUGCUGACGGUGCGGAGAGCCGAUAUACUGGAGAGCGAUGGCCGACGAUUGCGUGGAGAGCGACGAUCGACGCCGACGAUUGCGUGGAGAGCGACGAUCGACGCCGACGAUUGUGUGGAGAGAGAGAGACUAGAGAGCGACAGUGGACCGGUGG